GGACUUCUGAAGAGUCUCACAAUAAGAGGAAACGGUCGUCUAGUGC
rfam:Schistosoma curassoni strain Dakar, Senegal genome assembly, scaffold: SCTD_scaffold0002291